UAAAAAGCAUGCAGUGAGUGUGGCCAACGAGUAGGGGACAUGAUGUGAAGGGAGGGAUGAGCUGUACUUUAUCCACAUGAACCUCCCAAUAAUUAGCCCAGGCUCUGGGAAUAUGAGACCCAAUGAGAAGCGGUAAUGGACUCUGACGUCAGAGACGCGCUCUGCAAACGCUCCCCGUAUCGAUUGCUAAUUAAAGCUGACAUCCACCUCAAUAAACAAUAUCAGAGCUGUCACAACAAGACAGGAGGGCUUUGAUAAGAACUACAUCGCAACUACACGGGGGACCCACCGGGAGGAAGGGCUCACUGAAUCCCGGGAAGAAAAGGCUACAGGCGGAUAGGGAUGUCUGCAACCUUCUUUGGACUGUGGGACCCUUUGUUGUCCCUGAGCCCCACUUUGGGAACCACUGAGUUAAGAUGACCCCCCAUGUUAGUUAUGGGUCAUCAUUUAAAUACAUUAAACCUUUACAAUCAGGUAGGUUCACACGCAGGCCGUAAAACAAAUAGGGUGAUUGGUGAAAUAUGGGUGUGUUUAAAGGGAAGAUAUUGCUGAAGGCACACAGCGAAAGAGAAACUAUAAUAUUUUACUGUUACAAGGCGAAAGCCUCAGUUACGACCAACGCUGUGUUAUGAACAAAAUAUAUGAGCAAAUAAAGGAAGCCUUCAACUACUUCAAGAACAGGGGCAGUUCAAUAUAACAGAAUAAAAAAAGUGACAAAAUGCCAUCCUCAUAUGUACAUUAUAGGCAUUCACAACAUUUCCUGUCAGGAAACCAAAUUGGAAAGCUCCUCCACUUGUGCAACCCCUGCACUCAAUAUGUGACUAGCCUAAAUCCUAUCUGCUCAUUAGGUUUUCAAAUAAUUAAUUCGACUUUAUUUAUCCCCAGUCUGGCGCUGUCAUAAUGUUAAUCAGAGUUGAAAUUUCGCACCCCACUCAUUCCCUGACCCUUGGCACCCGGAUUGGCAUGUUGUAAUAACCUGAAUCUCUCAACAGAAGCUGCGAUAAUUGUUACCCUAUUAGCAUGCAAAUUGUUUAAUUAAUAUUAUUAUGAGGAAGUAUAUAAUCCGCUCGUCACUUGACCCCCAAGCCCAAAUAACAACCCUCUGUAUUUCAGUGUGUAGCCCUACAUUUUAAUGAACUCCUCAGAAAUGAUCUCGCCUAUUUAUCCAUCUUCCUUUUUUUGCAGCAGCAGCAGCAGUGGGCUCGUCUUUGAAGCGUUUCCUUCUUUGUAUUUUAACUUUAAUUUUAACGCACCCGGACAAGAUCUUAUGAAUAAUUCCUCCCCAUUCAUUUCUUUUUGAACAUCUAAAAUUCAAUAAUUGCUUUUCGUCAUUUCAAGCAUAUAUAGGCUGUCCCCAACUCGGCCGCACACAGGAGCUCAGUGAAAGGCAGCCCUUGACAUAGUCUCCAGAGACAUUGCAUUUAAAUCCGUUUUUCUACAACCGGGUGACAUUGUCAGAUUCUAGCUUUAAUUAACCCGAUAAUAAGGCGAACAAGGCCAGCAUUCAGCCGCGCUGUUGCCCUGCCUUGUUACCUUUUUUAUAACUGGCCCUUUUGGCAGCAGUUCAGAGGAAAUAAAAUAAUAAUAAAAAAAAUACAUUUUCUUCUCA